rnacentral:misc_RNA from 1 species
UGGGGUUCUCCUUUCGCAGAGAAAGAAGAAACGAUGGCGAGAAGCAAUCUUGGCUUUCUUUUUUCAUCAUCCUUGUUAAACUCCUCCAACCCCAAAUUAGCAGUUCCCUACAUCGGAUCGGCGCCAGUGAAUCUUUCCGCUUUCAACUCGUUGAGUCGAUUCAUAAGCUCUUUGGGUCAACAACAGCAACAACAAUCUGAAGAUGGCCUCAAAAAUGAAGGAGGAGACAAAAUCAAGCAGAAUCCUGAAACCGAAAGCGAAGAAGAAGAAGAAGAAGAUAAGGAUGGAGUCUAUGUGAAUAAAGAGACUGGCGAGAUUGGCGGGCCCAGAGGACCGGAGCCCACUCGAUUCGGCGAUUGGGAGCGAAACGGCGCUGCUCUGAUUUUUGAGCGUGUAAGAUGAGAGUUGUUGUGUUGCGUGUAUCUUUCGUUUGUUUAUAUUAUAAUUCUGAAAUAAAGAAUUAGAGUUUCUGAUCAGAAACAAUUGUUUGUGGGUUUUUUCAUUUUCUUUGCAUUGUAAAACUAAAAGCUGCCGUAUUUGAAUUGCCAAGAUCAUACUAGUCCACUACCUCCACCAUUUUCAUCCCUGUUCCCUAGCACAGCUCACAGUGACAUAUUCGCAUAUGAAUAAAAAAAUUCUUAACCACUGCG